rnacentral:pre_miRNA from 1 species
CAGGCCAUACACUGUUAAUGCUAAUUGUGAUAGGUGUUUUAUCUCUGAUCAACUCCUACAUGUUAGCAUUAAUAGGGUGUGGUG